UGUUUUUAAAAUUGUUUUUUUUUUUCCUUUUCUUGUUAUUUAGGUUGGUGGAAAUGUAGUACCCAAAAUCAAUCCCUGGGCGUAGAACUAAUGCGCGGAAAAAUCUGGGAUGAUACCUGGGAACCUGCAAGUAAAUCCUCUCAUGUUGCUGUCCCCCAAGUGCCACUUCCUUCAGACAGCGAACAAGUCCUUC